GAUGAAGAACGCAGCGAAAUGCGAUAAGUAAUGUGAAUUGCAGAAUUCAGUGAAUCAUCGAAUCUUUGAACGCACAUUGCGCCCGCCAGUAUUCUGGCGAGCAUGCCUGUUCGAGCGUCAUUUCAACCAUCAAGCCCCAGGCUUGUGUUGGAGCCCUGCGGCUGCCGCAGCCUCCCAAAACCAGUGGCGGGCUCGCUAUCACACCGAGUGCAGUAGUUUACUCUUCGCUCAGGGCGUGUGGCGGGUGCUAGCCGUGAAACCCCCAACUUCUCAAGGUUGACCUCGGAUCAGGUAGGAAUACCCGCUGAACUUAAGCAUAUCAAUAAGCGGAGA
rnacentral:misc_RNA from 1 species